rnacentral:rRNA from 1 species
UGGCGAUGAAGCGGCAAGAGCCCAAAUUUGAAAUCAGGCCCUCGCGGCUUGAGUUGUAAUUUGGAGACGGGAUACUAUAGAGAGGGAGGGCGACUAAUUGCCUUGGAACAGGCUGCCGUAAAGGGUGAGAGCCCCGUGAGUCGCGUGAACUCGAUCAAUUAGUGCCCGCCGAAGAGUCAAGUUGUUUGGGAAUAAAUA